rnacentral:lncRNA from 1 species
AGAGGCUAGUCAGUGGUGGCACACACCUUUAAUCCCAGCAGCCACAUUUGUUAGCCAUAGAAACUGAGCAGUGGUGGUGCAUGCCUUUAAUCCCAGCACUAGAGAGAAACAUAAGGAAGGUGGAGACAGGAGUACAGUGUAUUCAGUCUGCAGUCACACUGAGGACAGGAUCGCCCCUUUUGGUCUGAGCCUUGGUAGAGAUAACUUACUUCAACAAUCCCAGAACCAACCAAGGAAGUAUUUCCUGUCCUGUGAGCAAAUUAAGUAAGCAUCAUGGUGCUCAAAGCUGUGUCAAUAAGGGCUUUCUCUAUGACGUGGGACUCAGUGCACCUGGAUUGCUCACUGAUCUGGGCCUUUGUCUUUUCGACUGCAUUGUACCUACUGUGGCAUCCUGUGUAGAUUGUUGUGAUCCACGAAUAACUGCUAUCUUACUGCUAUUGUUGAUUACCCUAAAUGUGUUCUUUUCUUGUUAUUUUAAUAUUUUUCUCUUAGCAGAAACACAUAGCCUUUAAUUGAAUAUUAAGAGGAUUAUCCCAUGGCAUUGUAUGUCUGCAGGCCAGAAGAAGGUACCAGAUCUCAUUACAGAUGUCUGUGAGCCACCAUGUGGUUGCUAGGAAUUGAAUUCGGGACCUCUGGAAAAACAGUCAGUGCUCUUAACCACUAAGCAAUCUCUCCAGCCCCCCACCCUACCCCAUGGCAUUGUAAAAGUUUACAUUUAUUAUGUUCAUCAUGGAAAAUAAACAGGCACAUCCAUUG